rnacentral:misc_RNA from 1 species
GACUUGGUGAUUGAUACCGCAUUGUUAUACAAGCAUCCCCGAGGUGGUUCUUAUAAAACUGCUCUUCGAAUUCUUGCCAAAAAAUUUCUUUCUAGAGAGAUACAGCAGUCUGGGGCUGGACAUGCCAGUUCCAUAGCUGCUCUUGCAUCUACAGCAGCUAUGGAACUGGCAUUGUUAAAGAUAAAAAAUGGACCUGAUUUUGGUGCUCCGCCAUCAUUUAUACGGACAAAGCUUCUUACUGUUUUGAGUGAAUGUGGUAAAGCAUCCUCUGUCAUUGAUGAUGUUUCCAUAGUGAAGAGGUAUGCUUCUUCAUCAUCCCAUGCAUUUCCUGUGAACUCUGAUGAUGAAGCGCUUUCAAGAGCCAUUAAGGAGGUGAAGAAUGAACGAGUACACUUUGUCUGGACCCAGUUUUCAGAGUUGAAUUCUUACUUCAAGAAGCAAGCGGAGGAUGAAGGGAAGCUAAAUGCAAAAAUUGCAGAGAUGAUAUCAUUGCUUACGUGUCAAGAGAAGUCUGUCAACAGUAAAGGCACCAAAUGCAUUAUAACAUCUGAUCUCAAGGAAAUUCUAACUAGCAUGGAUGCUAGGGUCCGAUCCCUAUACUCUUCAUUGCCAACUAAUACAAUGCUCAUAAUUUGCACUGGACAUGGG